rnacentral:lncRNA from 1 species
AGUUGGCAACGGGAGUGGCUUUAGCACCCCGACCACCCUAACAUCUUGCACUGUCUGGGGGCUCCCCGGGCUCAGCAACACCCACCUCUGUGGCUGGGAGCUGGGCUCAGCCACAUCCCUGCAACUUCUCCGGGACACCGCCAUCCAGCUACGCCAAGGCCUGACGGCGGCUCCAUGUUUCCUGCCAAUGGCGGUGCUAUUAAUUGAUACAGAAAGCUCACAUUUGCCAUCACUCCCCUUUACGAAUCGCUUCACCCUCUGACCAGAUCCCCUCACAGUCACUUUCUAGAACUCAUUCUGGUGCCAGCUAUCUUUAUGGACAGAAAACUACAUUUUGAAAUCAAAUCAAGUGUGUUCUAUUUUCCAUCCAAAUAAAUCUGGAGCACUUUGGCUGCAUAUUCAAUGAGAGUACAGUGUUUACUUUUGUAAACAGAGUUCCUGGCCCAGAACAGGUUAACAGAUAUUCAUCAAAAGAAAGCAAGAGCCAGGCCUCACUCACUAAGCUAAAAGGAAAUGUAUAAAACAAACCAGAAUAAAGUGGAAGGAAUCACUCUACCCAAUUUCAAAACAUUAUAUUGCUGCAGCAGAAAUCAAAAUUCUGCAGUACUUGUGGCAGGAUGGACACAUAGGUCAAUUGGACAUCUAUAGGUGAAAAAAAAAAGAAAGAAAAAAAAGAAAAGGAAAGAAAAGAAAAAGGAGAGAAAGA